rnacentral:rRNA from 1 species
UACGUAGGUGGCAAGCGUUGUCCGGAAUUAUUGGGCGUAAAGCGCGCGCAGGCGGUUUCUUAAGUCUGAUGUGAAAGCCCACGGCUCAACCGUGGAGGGUCAUUGGAAACUGGGAAACUUGAGUGCAGAAGAGGAGAGUGGAAUUCCACGUGUAGCGGUGAAAUGCGUAGAGAUGUGGAGGAACACCAGUGGCGAAGGCGACUCUCUGGUCUGUAACUGACGCUGAGGCGCGAAAGCGUGGGGAGCGAACAGGAUUAGAAACCCCUGUAGUCC